rnacentral:rRNA from 1 species
AACGAACGUUAGCGGCGCGCUUAACACAUGCAAGUCGCACGAGAAAGGGAGCAAUCCCCGGUACAGUGGCGCACGGGUGAGUAACACGUAGGUAAUCUUCCCUCGAGUGGUGGAUAACCUUCCGAAAGGGAGGCUAAUACAGCAUAAGACCACGGGAGCGAAAGCUUCUGAGGUCAAAGCCGGCCUCUAUACAUAAGCUGGCGCUUGAGGAUGAGCCUGCGGCCCAUCAGGUAGUUGGUAGGGUAAUGGCCUACCAAGCCUAAGACGGGCAGCUGGUCUGAGAGGAUGAUCAGCCACACUGGAACUGAGACACGGUCCAGACUCCUACGGGAGGCAGCAGUGGGGAAUCUUGCGCAAUGGGCGAAAAGGCCUGACGUAGCGACACCGCGUGAGCGAAGAAGCCCUUUGGGGUGUAAAGGACUCUGUCGGCUGGAACGAAAAAAAUAGACGGUACCAGCAAAGGAAGCAUCGGCUAACCACGUAGCCAGCAGCCGCGGUAA